ACGUAGGGGGCAAGCGUUGUCCGGAUUGACUGGGCGUAAAGGGCGCGUAGGCGGCCUGUUAAGUCUGGGGUGAAAGCUCAGAGUUUAAGGGUGGAAUUGCUUUGGAUACUGGCAGGCUUGAGUGCAGGAGAGGAAAAUGGAAUUCCCGGUGUAGCGGUGAAAUGCGUAGAGAUCGGGAGGAACACCAGUGGCGAAGGCGGCUUACUGGAUUGUAACUGACGCUGAGGCGCGAAAGUGUGGGGAGCAAACAG
rnacentral:rRNA from 1 species